rnacentral:rRNA from 1 species
GACGAACGCUGGCGGCGUGCUUAACACAUGCAAGUCGAGCGGAGCGGCGAACGGGUGAGUAACGCGUGAGUAACUGCCCCCCUCCCUGGGAUAACAGUUGGAAACUGCUGCUAAUACCGGAUAGUGGGGGAUGACUCGCGUCAUAUCAGCUUGUUGGUGGGGUAGUGGCCUACCAAAGCGACGACGGGUAGCCGCCCUGAGAGGGCGACCCGCCACAUGGGUCUGAGAUACGGCCCAAACUCAUACGGGAGGAAGCAGUGGGGAAUAGUGCACAAUGGGGGAAAUGCUGAUGCAGCACCGCCGCGUGCGGGAUGACGGCCUGCGGGUUGUAAACCGCUUUCAGCCAUGACGCGGUAGUGGAAGAAGAAGCACCGGCUAACUACGUGCAAGCAGCCGCGGUAAUA